UACGUAGGUGGCAAGCGUUGUCCGGAUUUACUGGGCGUAAAGAGCGCGCAGGCGGUCGUUCAAGUCGCGUGUGAAAGCCCCCGGCUCAACUGGGGAGGGUCACGCGAUACUGAUCGACUCGAAGGCAGGAGAGGGUAGUGGAAUUCCCGGUGUAGUGGUGAAAUGCGAAGAUAUCGGAAGGAACAUCAGUGGCGAAAGCGACUUCCUGGACCAGUACCGACGUUCAGGCACGAAAGCGUGGGGAGCAAACAGG
rnacentral:rRNA from 1 species